ACCUGGUUGAUCCUGCCAGUAGUCAUAUGCUUGUCUCAAAGAUUAAGCCAUGCAUGUCUAAGUACACGCCCUAGCAAGGCGAAACCGCGAAUGGCUCAUUAAAUCAGUUAUGGUUCCUUAGAUCGUACACAUUUACUUGGAUAACUGUGGUAAUUCUAGAGCUAAUACAUGCAAUUGAGCCCUCGUCCCUUUUAGGGUGAGGGUGCUUUUAUUAGACCAAGACCAAACGGGGGCAACUCCGAUAGUCGUGGUGACUCUGAAUAACUAUGGCGGAUCGCACAGUCCUAGCACUGGCGACGCAUCUUUCAAGUGUCUGCCUUAUCAACUUUCGAUGGUAGGUUAUGCGCCUACCAUGGUUGUUACGGGUAACGGGGAAUCAGGGUUCGAUUCCGGAGAGGGAGCCUGAGAAACGGCUACCACAUCCAAGGAAGGCAGCAGGCGCGCAAAUUACCCACUCCCGGCACGGGGAGGUAGUGACGAAAAAUAACAAUACGGGACUCUAACGAGGCUCCGUAAUUGGAAUGAGUACACUCUAAACCUUUUAACGAGGAUCUAUUGGAGGGCAAGUCUAGUGCCAGCAGCCGCGGUAACUCUAGCUCCAAUAGCGUAUAUUAAAGUUGUUGCGGUUAAAAAGCUCGUAGUUGGAUCUCAGUCGCCCUCCCUUCGAUGCGUUGCAAAGCGUCUAUCGUUGGGGCCGACAGCACGUUGGUGGGCCCGGUUGGCUUUUACCGGUUGAUCGGGUUCUCCGGCAAUUUUACUUUGAAAAAAUUAGGGUGCUCAAAGCAGGCUGGUGCCUGGAUAUUGGUGCAUGGAAUAAUGGAAUAGGACCUCGGUUCUAUUUUGUUGGUUUUUCGGAUCCCGAGGUAAUGAUUGAGAGGGACAGACGGGGGCAUUCGUAUUGCGGCGCUAGAGGUGAAAUUCUUGGACCGCUGCAAGACGAACUACUGCGAAAGCAUUUGCCAAGAAUGUUUUCAUUAAUCAAGAACGAAAGUUAGAGGUUCGAAGGCGAUCAGAUACCGCCCUAGUUCUAACCAUAAAACGAUGCCAACCCGGCCCGGACACCGGAAGGAUUGACAGAUUGAUAGCUCUUUCUUGAUUCGGUGGGUGGUGGUGCAUGGCCGUUCUUAGUUGGUGGAGCGAUUUGUCUGGUUAAUUCCGAUAACGAACGAGACUCUAGCCUACUAAAUAGACCCACGGUCCCUUUGUACCGUGAGCGGGUCUUCUUAGAGGGACAGGCGGCUUUUAGCCGCACGAAACAGAGCAAUAACAGGUCUGUGAUGCCCUUAGAUGUCCGGGGCCGCACGCGCGCUACACUGAAGGAAUCAGCAUGUGUCUACCCUUGUCCGAAAGGACCGGGUAACCCUCUGAACCUCCUUCGUGAUGGGGAUAGGGGAUUGUAAUUAUUCCCCUCGAACGAGGAAUUCCCAGUAAGCGCGAGUCAUCAGCUCGCGUUGAUUACGUCCCUGCCCUUUGUGCACACCGCCCGUCGCUACUACAGAUUGAAUGGUUUAGUGAGGUCUUCGGACUGGUUCAUUGAUCAGUUUCGGCUGUUAUUUGAGCCGGGAAGAUGAUCAAACUUGGCCAUUUAGAGGAAGUAAAAGUCGUAACAAGGUUGCCGUAGGUGAACCUGCGGCAGGAUCAUUA